rnacentral:rRNA from 1 species
GACGAACGCUGGCGGCGCGCCUAACACAUGCAAGUCGAACGGAGUUAUCUCAGCUGAAGUUUUCGGAUGGACGCAGGGAUAACUUAGUGGCGAACGGGUGAGUAACACGUGAGGAACCUGCCCUGGAGUGGGGGACAACAGUUGGAAACGACUGCUAAUACCGCAUAAGCCCACAGCACCGCAUGGUGCAGAGGGAAAAGGAGCAAUUCGCUUCAGGAUGGCCUCGCGUCCAAUUAGGUAGAUGGUGAGGUAACGGCCCACCAUGCCGACGAUCGGUAGCCGGACUGAGAGGUUGAACGGCCACAUUGGGACUGAGACACGGCCCAGACUCCUACGGGAGGCAGCAGUGGGGAAUAUUGCACAAUGGGGGAAACCCUGAUGCAGCGACGCCGCGUGGAGGAAGAAGGUUUUCGGAUUGUAAACUCCUGUCUUCGGGGACGAUAAUGACGGUACCCGAGGAGGAAGCCACGGCUAACUACGCCGCGGAGCCGCGGUAAAACGUAGGUGGCAAGCGUUGUCCGGAAUUACUGGGUGUAAAGGGAGCGCAGGCGGGUCGGCAAGUUGGAGGUGAAAGCUGUGGGCUCAACUCACAAACUGCCUUCAAAACUGCCGGUCUUGAGUGGUGUAGAGGUAGGCGGAAUUCCCGGUGUAGCGGUGGAAUGCGUAGAUAUCGGGAGGAACACCAGUGGCGAAGGCGGCCUACUGGGCACUAACUGACGCUGAGGCUCGAAAGCAUGGGUAGCAAACAGGAUUAGAUACCCUGGUAGUCCAUGCCGUAAACGAUGAUUACUAGGUGUGGGAGGAUUGACCCCUUCCGUGCCGCAGUUAACACAAUAAGUAAUCCACCUGGGGAGUACGACCGCAAGGUUGAAACUCAAAGGAAUUGACGGGGGCCCGCACAAGCAGUGGAGUAUGUGGUUUAAUUCGACGCAACGCGAAGAACCUUACCAAGUCUUGACAUCCUGCGACGAGUACAGAAAUGUGCUUUUCCUUCGGGACGCAGAGACAGGUGGUGCAUGGUUGUCGUCAGCUCGUGUCGUGAGAUGUUGGGUUAAGUCCCGCAACGAGCGCAACCCUUAUGGAUAGUUACUACGCAAGAGGACUCUAUUCAGACUGCCGUUGACAAAACGGAGGAAGGUGGGGAUGACGUCAAAUCAUCAUGCCCUUUAUGACUUGGGCUACACACGUACUACAAUGGCGUUCAACAAAGAGAAGCGAAAUCGCGAGAUGGAGCAAAACUCAAAAACAACGUCCCAGUUCAGAUUGCAGGCUGCAACUCGCCUGCAUGAAGUCGGAAUUGCUAGUAAUCGCAGAUCAGCAUGCUGCGGUGAAUACGUUCCCGGGCCUUGUACACACCGCCCGUCACACCAUGAGAGCCGGGGGGACCCGAAGUCGGCAGUCUAACCGCAAGGAGGACGCCGCCGAAGGUAAAACUGGUGAUUGGGGUGA